AAUAGAUACCCUGGUAGUCCACGCCGUAAACGAUGGAUGCUAGCUAUUGGGGGGAAUCGACCCCCUCCGAAGCGAAGUUAACGCGUUAAGCAUCCCGCCUGAGUAGUACGAGCGCAAGCUUAAAACUCAAAGGAAUUGACGGGGACCCGCACAAGCGGUGGAGCGUGUGGUUUAAUUCGAUGGUAAACGAAGAACCUUACCAAGGUUUGACAUCCCGGUAGCCGUUCUCCGAAAGGAGAAUUUCAUUUAGUUGGACCGGUGACAGGUGAUGCAUGGCCGUCGUCAGCUCGUGUCGUGAGAUGUUGGGUUAAGUCCCGCAACGAGCGCAACCCUUAUGAUUUAGUUGGAUUUUUCUAAACAGACUGCCCUGGUAACAGGGAGGAAGGAGGGGAUGAUGUCAGGUCAGUAUUUCCCUUACACCUUGGGGCGACACACGCGCUACAAUGGCCGGUACAAUGGGCAGCUAAGCCGCGAGGUGGAGCAAAUCCCAUCAAAGCCGGUCCCAGUUCGGAUUGCAGGCUGAAACCCGCCUGCAUGAAGCCGGAAUCGCUAGUAACC
rnacentral:rRNA from 1 species